rnacentral:rRNA from 1 species
AUCCACGACCAUCUUACCCCUUCUAGAUUAAUCAGCUUGUGUACUGCCGUCGUAAGCACACCUCUAAAAGCAACUCAGUAUGCAAAUAUGACUAACCCUCAUUUACGUCAGGUCAAAGUGCAGCUAAUGAUGGGGUGAUGAUGGGUUACACCCUAAACACAGACACGAAAUAUAGUCUCAAAAACUAUAUAAAGGUGGACUUGGAUGUAAUUAUAAUCCAAAAUUACAAUGAAAUUGAAUCUAAGGCAUGCACACAUCGCCCGUCACUCUCGCCCAAAGGCGAGAUAAGUCGUAACAAAGUAGGUGUAACGGAAGUUGCACCUGU